rnacentral:rRNA from 1 species
GAUGAACGCUGGCGGCGUGCCUAAUACAUGCAAGUCGAGCGAACAGACGAGGAGCUUGCUCCUCUGACGUUAGCGGCGGACGGGUGAGUAACACGUGGAUAACCUACCUAUAAGACUGGGAUAACUUCGGGAAACCGGAGCUAAUACCGGAUAAUAUAUUGAACCGCAUGGUUCAAUAGUGAAAGACGGUUUUGCUGUCACUUAUAGAUGGAUCCGCGCCGCAUUAGCUAGUUGGUAAGGUAACGGCUUACCAAGGCAACGAUGCGUAGCCGACCUGAGAGGGGGGGGGCCACAAGUGAACGAGAACCCGGGCCCGAACCCUGCGGGGAGGAGCAAGAGGGAAUUCUUCAGAAAUGGGGAAAGGCCGACGGGAGAAGCGCGGGGGGAGGAAUGAAGUUCUUAGAAUCAAAACAUUUUUUAAGUAGGGAAAAAAAAAUUUGAAAGUAACUAGGCGCGUCUGGAGGGAACCUAAUAAGAAGACCAGGACAAAUUAGGUC